UUAUAUUUUUAAUAUACUUAUUUAACAUGCUUUUAUGAUGUAUGUAUGUAUGAUAUAUUAAAAUUAUUUGAAAUUAAUAUUUGCUUGAAUUCUCAUGAUAUUUCGAAAAAUACGCUCAGUAACGAAGUAACUAAAUCAUUCCGCAAACACGAACCGUGUAUAUUUGUCGGUCAAUAAAUACUUCGCGACAAGUUAAAUACACAUAUACAAUCAUCGCUGUCCUUAGUUUCGUAUUUCAAUGAAAACGUAUACAAGGUAAUCUACUCAACGCCGUCUCGAUUUGUUCGAUUUGUGAACAAAAGUAUCGAACGCGAUUGUGCGCAGUUAUAUCCGUGACAAACAACGGAGAAGAGUCGGAGAAGAUAGGUGGCGGAACGAGCAAAAGCACGAAGGAGAAAAUCUAAUAUGGCCGUUGGGCGCGUAAUGAAGCUACCUGUUUUCUCGAAGACAGAGAAAGGGAAAGAGACGGAGAAGCACAUGUCUCCGCUCGUCCGGUUGAGAAAGGUUUGAGGUAGGUCGAUCGACGAAUGACUCACCCUUUGGUUUCUCUCGAGAACGAUCGAGAGAGCCACUCGUUGGGCGGAGUGGUCGACUUCCACGGUGGGCAGCAUGUCCCAUUAUAUUCGCUGUAGCUCAUUAAUAUCGUGAUAUCCAAUAUGUGUAAUUAUAACUGAACCGUGCUUUUCGCGUAAGUCCGCGUAAGACCAUAUACAUGACACUUAUCCAUGAACCAAUAAUGAAUCAUCGGCCAUGGGUUAAACGCGCCUCGUUAUUUUGCAACAUUCUUCCAUAUUGGUUUCAGCUUUAACUGUUGCCCAGCGUAGUACGAUAAUUGGCCGCCAACAAUGGUGCGCACUGCGAUCGAGAAGCGAGAAAACCAAUUUGACCAUGAGUAGAGACAGAAGAAGCCAUUUUGUGUAAAGUUUACGAAAAGAAAUAUUCAAGUUUUAUUUCGAAUUAUUCAAGUUAUAAGUGCCCUUUGAUGGCGAUGAAAAUAGAUAUUCAUAGGUGUUAUAAUACGGACUAAACGAAUAUAAAGAUGAAUCAUUCGUAUCUUUUCGAUAUAACGCAUUAAAUAGUGAUCGAAUCGAAUAUUGACAAAGAACGUAUUCAAGAUAGAGAAACCGAUGUGAAUUUUUACGUGCAAAGUGUAGUGAUAAAUAGAAAGAAAGAAUUACGAUUUUUCUAAGUGAUUUUUACUGGAAUGUGGUUUCCAUAUCGUCUUUAUAAUCGUGCAUAUUCGCGAAUCUUUCGUCGUCGAAUAAAUACCGCGUCCUUCAUCGUAACAUGACCGAGAGCUUGGCCAUUUCUUUCGUAUUCUUUCCGACGACACGUAACACGUUCCCGCGGUCUAGAAAAUCAACGGUCUUUCGUAAUCUGAUUUUUCUAUCGCGAGACUUGAGACGGCGCACAAUGUAUUCCACAAUAUGUGUAUAUAUGUGUUCAGAAUGUUCUCUAUAGAACACGAAACACACACCGAUCGUCGCGUAUCAAGCCGGAUAGCGGACGUAUCGAGUAGAGUGAAGAGAGAAAGAGAAUAAAGGAAAAAGAAGCAUCGGGCAUAGAGAAAGAGAAAGAGUGGAAGAGAGAUAAACUGAACGUGUGCGGACGGAAAGAAAGGGAGAAGAAAGAAAGACUGGUGACGGAACAGAGAGAGAAAGAGAGAUAGAAAGAGAAAGAAGAAAGAGUAGGAGGAGAAUGAACGCAGUUGGGCGGCCGUGUCAGUGGAGUUCAAUCUUAAUAUAGUGUGACCCCCACUGCCAUUCGAGACACUGUCGGAUGCAACUGCAGUUGCAGUGCCUGUGCAAGAGAAAGAGAAAAAGAGUCGAUAUCGGUAGACGAAGAAAGAGGCAAACGUGACAGAAAGAGAGACAUUAGCGGUGGGAGGGUAGGAGAGAAAGCGAGAAAGAGAGGCCACAGUGAACGGGUGCGUGCAUUGCACCUUAUUCCCCUGUCCGACGAGUGUGCCUCGCUCGGUUAUUUCAGAGACAUCGGCCCCGAGAGUGUAUAUAUAUGUUAUAUUCACACACGUGAAUACCAUGUAUAUGUAUAUAUAGAUACAUCUAUAGAUCGUGUACGGAUACAUAUGAAGUGAAUAGAUACGGAUGUAAGUGCGUGUGCGCGAAUCACACAUACGCGGUGAAGCGACGCGUGCAUACGCGCGAGAUUGUUCGGACGAGUGUCAUCGAUCUAUUUCGAGAAGAGGUUGGAAUUUCUGGCCUUCGAGAGAGGUCAGAGAAGGAGAUAAAGGAAAACGUAUAAGAGACAGAGAAAGAAAGAAAGGCGAAAGGGAAGACAGGAAAAUAGAAGGAAGAAUGUACAUGCACCUGUAUAAUGCAUCCGCACGACUCGGUGGUCGGCGUACGAAUGACCACGACUCGUUUCUACCUAGCUCGCGAGCCAAUGCUCACUUUCAAAGGGCUUCUAUGAUUGGCGCUGCGUCCGGCCAAUCGGUGACUGGUUUUCCUGGAAGCUACGACUUGGUCACUAUGUGGGGGGAAGGGGGAGACCGUGAGGCGAUGUGACAAGGAAGGGACGAUAUGGCGCGGAAAGGGAGGAGAGAAUAAAGUGGUUGAGGAUCGGACGAUGGUGGGGCAAGCGGUGGUACUCGGCCGUUGCAUUGUGGGGGUGUUGGCCUUCAACUUGACGGCGCAGUUUCACUGACCUGCCUGAGAAACUCGUGAUAUCCGCGCGGCUCGUGCCCCACGAGCGGACGUACCGACGCACGAAUGUCCAGAGAUGCCAGAGGGUACCGCUACUUAAGGGCCCACGAAUCCUAAAUAAACUUACCACGAUGUAGCGACCGAUCUUUUUCUACCUGAACAUUGUUUCACAUUCAUUCCCUAUAAUCAACGCCAUAGUAAUUGAAGCUUUUCUAUGUAAUGGAAUGCUCGUUUUCCGGUUUGGAAUGGAUUAUCGAUAUAUUGAACAAUUCUGACAUAUUACAGGAUCUUGUCCAUUUAUUAAUGGAAUGUUUCAGAUUUAUUCCUUUUUUUUUUAAUAAAAGAACUCGAUAAAA